GAUGAACGCGGGCGGCGUGCCUAAUACAUGCAAGUAGAACGCUGAAGCUUGGUGCUUGCACCGAGCGGAAGAGUUGCGAACGGGUGAGUAACGCGUAGGUAACCUGCCUCUUAGCGGGGGAUAACUAUUGGAAACGAUAGCUAAUACCGCAUAAAAGUCGGCAUUGCAUGAUGUUGACUUGAAAGGUGCAACUGCAUCACUAAGAGAUGGACCUGCGUUGUAUUAGCUAGUUGGUGAGGUAACGGCUCACCAAGGCGACGAUACAUAGCCGAACUGAGAGGGUGAUCGGCCACACUGGGACUGAGACACGGCCCAGACUCCUACGGGAGGCAGCAGUAGGGAAUCUUCGGCAAUGGACGGAAGUCUGACCGAGCAACGCCGCGUGAGUGAAGAAGGUUUUCGGAUCGUAAAGCUCUGUUGUAAGAGAAGAACGAGUGUGAGAGUGGAAAGUUCACACUGUGACGGUAACUUACCAGAAAGGGACGGCUAACUACGUGCCAGCAGCCGCGGUAAUACGUAGGUCCCGAGCGUUAUCCGGAUUUAUUGGGCGUAAAGCGAGCGCAGGCGGUUAGAUAAGUCUGAAGUUAAAGGCUGUGGCUUAACCAUAGUACGCUUUGGAAACUGUUUAACUUGAGUGCAGAAGGGGAAAGUGGAAUUCCAUGUGUAGCGGUGAAAUGCGUAGAUAUAUGGAGGAACACCGGUGGCGAAAGCGGCUCUCUGGUCUGUAACUGACGCUGAGGCUCGAAAGCGUGGGGAGCAAACAGG
rnacentral:rRNA from 1 species